rnacentral:lncRNA from 1 species
GACCUGAAUUUGGUGAUGAAUAUCGAAUUUAUUUGGGUUUCUUUAUAACUUUGAUAGCGGUAAUGGUGACAAUGUGAUUCCAAUAAUAGAUUUGGUUAUGAUUGUUGAAUUUCAUGGUGAUUCUGUACAUUUUUUAUGGUGAAAAUGGUGAUGGUGUGAUUCUUAUGGUGGGUUUAAUUGUGGGUGGUGAAAUAUAUGAAUUUAGUGAUGGUGUGGCGGCAAUAAUAGUGGUUCUAUGGUAGUUUUGAUGGUGUAUAGUGAAGAUGAAGCAAUUGGAUGAUGUGAAGAGAAAAAAAUUAAAGUAUGAUGAAACAUCUGAUGUGGCACUGACAUGACAAUAGCAUAGGAAAGUGUAUUACACUUUUCAUUAUGGACUGAUUAUAUGUGUCGAGGUGGAAAUAAAUUUACUUUUAAAUAGUACAGGUCUGUAAUAGGUCAAUUCAAUAAUUUAGGUGUGUCUUCGACUUUUCGGGUAUAAUUUAAGGUGAUUUUGAUGCCUUUUUUCUUUUGUAAAAUUAUAAAUGUCAAUUAUUUUAUCUAUAUUUUUAUUGUGAUCUUUCUUCUUAGAUAUUAUCGCACAUCGCGCAGAUACUAAUACUAGUUAAUCUUAAUAUAAUGAUAUGAAUAAGUAUUUAUUGUUUAUGUAUCUCCCGCAGACA